UAAACACCCACGGAAGGCAGCAGGUGGAAAUUACUGCAGGAAAGAAAAUGAAAAUGGAGGCAUUAAAAGGAAGAAAUUUCAUGCAAACGCUGGAAUCUUGCACGUUCCAUGAAAGUUACAUUCUAUUGGAGAAAAUACACCAUUUAACUGGAAGGAGACUUCACUUUAUUUAAAGGAGAACUCUUGCAAAGUCUUUACACUGGUUUAAGAACAUAAAGAAAUUUGCUAGAGAAUCUGAGGUAUGUAACAUCCAGCUCUGCUCAUCUUCGCAACUUGCAACUAUU